rnacentral:rRNA from 1 species
CCUACGGGGAGCAGCAGUGGGGAAUAUUGCACAAUGGGGGAAACCCUGAUGCAGCAACGCCGCGUGAAGGAAGACGGUUUUCGGAUUGUAAACUUCUGUUCUUAGUGAAGAAUAAUGACGGUAGCUAAGGAGCAAGCCACGGCUAACUACGUGCCAGCAGCCGCGGUAAUACGUAGGGAGCGAGCGUUGUCCGGAAUUACUGGGUGUAAAGGGCGCGUAGGCGGGGAUGCAAGUUGGGUGUCAAAACUACCGGCUCAACUGGUAGUCGCACUCAAAACUGCAGCUCUUGAGUGAAGUAGAGGCAGGCGGAAUUCCUAGUGUAGCGGUGAAAUGCGUAGAUAUUAGGAGGAACACCAGGGGCGAAGGCGGCCUGCUGGGCUUUUACUGACGCUGAGGCUCGAAAGUGUGGGGAGCAAACAGGAUUAGAUACCCUUGUAGUC